rnacentral:rRNA from 1 species
UGCAGUCGAGCGAACAGAAAGGAGCUUGCUCCUUUGACGUUAGCGGCGGACGGGUGAGUAACACGUGGGCAACCUACCCUAUAGUUUGGGAUAACUCCGGGAAACCGGGGCUAAUACCGAAUAAUCUCUUUUGCUUCAUGGUGAAAGACUGAAAGACGGCAUCUCGCUGUCGCUAUAGGAUGGGCCCGCGGCGCAUUAGCUAGUUGGUGAGGUAACGGCUCACCAAGGCGACGAUGCGUAGCCGACCUGAGAGGGUGAUCGGCCACACUGGGACUGAGACACGGCCCAGACUCCUACGGGAGGCAGCAGUAGGGAAUCUUCCACAAUGGGCGAAAGCCUGAUGGAGCAACGCCCCGUGAGUGAAGAAGGUUUUCGGAUCGUAAAACUCUGUUGUAAGGGAAGAACAAGUACAGUAGUAACUGGCUGUACCUUGACGGUACCUUAUUAAAAAGCCACGGCUAACUACGUGCCAGCAGCCGCGGUAAUACGUAGGUGGCAAGCGUUGUCCGGAAUUAUUGGGCGUAAAGCGCGCGCAGGCGGUCCUUUAAUUCUGAUGUGAAAGCCCACGGCUCAACCGUGGAGGGUCAUUGGAAACUGGGGGACUUGAGUGCAGAAGAGGAAAGUGGAAUUCCAAGUGUAGCGGUGAAAUGCGUAGAGAUUUGGAGGAACACCAGUGGCGAAGGCGACUUUCUGGUCUGUAACUGACGCUGAGGCGCGAAAGCGU